UGGGGAAUAUUGCACAAUGGGGGAAACCCUGAUGCAGCGACGCCGCGUGAGCGAAGAAGGUUUUCGAAUCGUAAAGCUCUGUCCUAUGAGAAGAUAAUGACGGUAUCAUAGGAGGAAGCCCCGGCUAAAUACGUGCCAGCAGCCGCGGUAAUACGUAUGGGGCGAGCGUUGUCCGGAAUUAUUGGGCGUAAAGGGUACGUAGGCGGUCUAUUAAGUCAGGUGUGAAAGCGUGAGGCUUAACCUCAUUAAGCACUUGAAACUGAUAGACUUGAGUGAAGGAGAGGAAAGUGGAAUUCCUAGUGUAGCGGUGAAAUGCGUAGAUAUUAGGAGGAAUACCGGUGGCGAAGGCGACUUUCGGGACUUUUACUGACGCUCAGGUACGAAAGCGUGGGGAGCAAACAGG
rnacentral:rRNA from 1 species